rnacentral:tRNA from 1 species
GGAACCAGUGUAGUGUAGUGGUUUGAGCAUUAGACUAUGAUUCUGGAGACCAGGGUUCGAAUCCCAGCUCAUCCA